rnacentral:lncRNA from 1 species
CCUGGAGGUGCUGAAGCUCAGCACCUGAGUUUCCUGGGUGAUUUGGGGCCACUGGCAUUGUGCAGCCCUGUUUUCUGGUUCCAGCACCAGCCGCAAUCUUUUGGGGUGAGGGUGGGUGUGUGGACCUCCCAGUCUGAGAGCCCCUGAAGCCAUGGCUGGGCAGGGCUGAGUCUGGCAUGGGAGCAGAUGAGGUCUUUGCCUUCAAAUGAAUCCCUCCCCAAGUCAAGCCCCAGCCACACGCUCUUCCCCCAGCCACAGGUGCUGACCCCCACCUCUCCCUGGGGGGCUACGAGGCCGGAGGCGUCCGGGUGCUGUGUCGAUCGGCCGGCUGGUACCCGCUGCCGCAGCUGCUGUGGAGGGAUGCUCGUGGGCAGCACCUGCCCUCAGACCCCCAGACACAUUCCCAGGACCAGGAGGGGCUCUUUGAAAUCAAAGGCGCCAUCACCGUGACCGGGAGUGUGGAGGGGCCCUUGUCCUGUGUGGUCAGGAACAGCCGCCUGCAGCAGGAGUGGAAAUUUUCCCUGCACAUCGCAGGUACAAAUGGCACAGCCAGGGUGAGGUGUUCCUGGCCCCUGCACUUGUCCUGAGCUGGGAGAAGUCUGGGUCUUGCUUUUCCACACAUGGGCAUGGAAACGCAGCCCUUUUCCUGGUGUCUUUUCUCAGCUCCCUUCUUCCACAAUGCCCAGCCCUGGAUGGUGGCUCUGUCUCUGGUCCUCGUGCUUUUGGCUGUGUCCAUUGGCCUCGGUGUUUAUCUCUUUCGAAUGCAAGCGGCACAGAGGCGAGAGCUGGGUGAGUCCUUGCAGUCCCUGCCCCCAGCCCCUGGGGAAGUGGUGUCCCUGAGGGAGGCACUGGUCUGGGUGGGCUCCGGGGGCUUGUGUGCUGGUGGCUCAUGGGUGCUGGAGGAGCAGCUGGAGCCUGGGGUGGGAGUGGGGAGUGCUGGGGCUGGGGCUGCCCUGGGCACGGGACACGGCCAGGAAGGCUGAAAGGAACAGGGAUCAAGGUGGGGAUGGGAAGCUAGCUGCGGGGCUGCCCCGCUCUGUACUGACGCUUCUGGGACAGGGACGUCCUCCACCCAUCCCCAUUCACUUCCACUUGUGUUUUGGUGGCACGGUGCAGAGAGCUGCACAAGUGUCUGUCCUUACUGCUCCACAUGCACAAGCCUUGCUGAAACCUCAGUUUUGCUCCAUGUUAGUCUUGUCCCACCAAAACUUGGAGGAAGGUGCUCUGUGCACACUCACCUCAGAAAAAUAAUUAAGGGUGUAUCUAUGGGAGUAGCCAUGGAAUGUGAAGCACUGCCUUCUGGUCACAUAUUGACUUUUCUUUCCUUUUCCAUUAAAAAAGCUGGACAGUUAGGUAAGUCUGUAUUCGUAAACCCAAUGU